rnacentral:misc_RNA from 1 species
GAUGAAGAACGUAGCGAAAUGCGAUAAGUAAUGUGAAUUGCAGAAUUCCGUGAAUCAUCGAAUCUUUGAACGCACAUUGUGCCCUCUGGUAUUCCGGGGGGCAUGCCUGUCCGAGCGUCAUUUGCAACCCUCAAGCCCGGCUUGUGUGAUGGGUGCCGUCCCCUACGGGACGCGCCCCGAAGGCAAUGGCGGCGUCGCGGUUAUCCGAUCAGCCAAAGUGUAUGGGGCUUUGUCACUCACUUUACGGCCCGGACCGGCGCCAGUCCGAAUCAAUCUUUUUUCUAAAGUUGACCUCGGAUCAGGUAGGGAUACCCGCUGAACUUAAGCAUAUCAAUAAGCGGAGGA